rnacentral:tRNA from 1 species
GGGGGUUUAGCUCAGUGAUAAGAGCAAGUGUCUGUUAUGCAUGAGGCCUAGGUUCCAUCCCAGCACCCCCC